UACGUCGUUUGUCCAUCUUCCCCGUUUGUCCGUAGAUGUGGUCUCGACUCACCAUCUACUUGCAUGUGGCAAGUUGCUUUACCGCGCAUGUUUUGGAGUCUUCGAACUGCCGUCGAACUAUCUUAUCUACUGUUCCGCAUCUGAUGCUGAUGAUGUCACUAUAUCCUUCGAUGUGGAUGGCUACAAAAACAAAGACGGGGAUGGCUGAAUUCUCUGGCGAUCCAGAUUUUGCAAAGAGAGCAGUGAAGUUUUUGUG